CAAAAAAAAAAAAAAAAAGAAAUAUCUCCCAACAGCUAAAAUCUCUUCAAGUCCAGAACAUGGAGCUUGCAGAAAAGCUGCAGCAUGUGACUGAAACACUCUGUCGUGUGCUCUAUGACAAAACUGGAGAUUUCAUAUUGUAUUAGAUGACACAACCCCAAGAAGCAGAGGCUGUGUGGCCAUCAUCAGUGGAAUGGCUUUCUCAAAGGACUGCCGAGUUGAGGCGGUGUGCAUGUGAGAGGAGGAUGGCAAAAGUGAAGCCAAAAAGCCUCCAUUGGCCUCCCUGAACCAUUUGGCCAAAGUGAUUGACUCCCCAGCUGCAACUACAACAGAGUUGAGCCAAGUGAGGUCAAUGCAAGGGCUACUUGAGACAUUGGGAAAUGGAACAUUAUCAGGAAAGACCGUCUCUGUCACUAGUACAAGAUGGAGUCUCAUGUUUCCUGUUCACAGUCACCAGACUUUCCAAGUUUGGGUCCAUGCACAUAUUUACCAGUCCCAAGAAGUCCUAUUUAUAUGCCACUAACCAGCCUCAGAAAUUCAUAAUGUCAUCUACCUUCUUGGCUUAGAGAUAACUUUUGGCUUUCUUUCUUCCCAAUGUCUAAUAUCACCUCCCUGUUUCCAUGUCUUCUUUACAUCUGGAGGAGUGAGAAACUUUUUAAAGUAGAAGAAAUAUUGGGAAGUAACAUCUUUUGCCCUGACAGUCAAGUAGUCCAUCUGAAUUUAGCAGUCAUUCCCCAGAUUGUACCACCAAAUGCACAAGGAAUCUUCUUCUUGUUUCAGUUCACACUGUUCACUUCCCAGUCCCUCAGUAAAGACCCCAUCUACUAUGUCUAUGGCCUGCUUCCCAACAGGGAUGUCUCUUGUUAUGAGAAUCUCAAUGUCCUCUAAACAUCCAUCCCUGUGUCCAUUAAGAUUCUGAUAAUUUGGUCCUUUUGUAGUUCAUGAGCAUGAUGAUUGGGUGUUCAUGAGAACAUGGGAGAUAUGCCACCCUCUGAACCUUGUUAUGACAUCGGUACAUUACCCAUCUGACCUAAGGGGGGAAAAAUUCUGAUAAUUGUCUACCUUCCAUAGGAAUUUAUUCUAGGAAGGAAAUAUAUCCCAACUCAAUUCCAUAUCAGAAUUACUCUCCCUGAUAUUCCCUUUAUUGAAGACCAAAAAAAAUUACUCUCUUUAUGUGCACCUGUAAUAGCUUGAUUUCAGUCCCUAUUUUCUUCCAUUUGACUCAAAUUUACACCGUUCAUAUACUGAAGAUUUAAUGAUAAUAAAUGCGACCACGGUGAAGUGUGUGUUUUAGAAUGGACUUACGAUUUGGGGGAAAAUUCAGCAUGGGAAUGCUUCUCAAAAUAUAACAAUCUGCCUUACUGAGAGUUUUUGGGAAAUCUACAAGAGUACUGAUUAUGUGAUUAUCUGGGAAAAAAUAAGAGGUCUUUGAAAUGCAUAUUGUCUUCAAGAGAACAGUUUUAACACUUUACUAAAAUGAAAUCUUUUGAAGCAAACUCGUGGCAUCAAUACUUGGUUGAUGAGUAAGCUGAGUUUCAUUAGUGCACCUGAUUUCUAAUCAGAUCAUGAGACAUGAACAGAGACAGUGACAUCUGUGUAGCUUUUCCUUUGGUAGGCACUUCUUUCUUGAGAUGACUCCAUGAGCAAACAUAACUGGGAUUGUUGUGAAUGACACCAUCACAGCCACAAAGUUGAUUGGUUCAUUGAUAAAUCAAUUAUGGGGUUUUGAUGCUAGAAGGAUAACAUAUUAGAAAUCUUUACUUUUCAAUAGCGGAAACUAAGGUGCUUCACUUUUGUUUUCAGUAAACAUCUGUGUCAUUUUGAACUAACAUAGAGUAGCAAUUACAUGAGAAAGAACACAGUGCUCAUUUUCGUAAGACUUCAUUUCAUAAAUUGUCACUUAGCAAAGGUUAUUGCAGAUUCUUCCUUGAGAACUUCCCAUUUUCUGUUGAUUUCCUUAAACAUUUCUUCAGGGUUGAACAAGUUCUGUUGAUACAUUGUGUCCUGCAAAGAAAACUGUAUUUGUGGUCAAAAAACGAGGAUUUUAGAUCUCUGAUUCUGAUUUACUUAUUUGGCAAAUCGUUUUACUUCAUGGAGCAUAUUUCAUGAUAUAUGAGGUAGAAAUAGUUAUAAUUUCCUCAUAAUAUUACUGUUAGCUGAAAUGAGGUAAAUGUGAAAUUGGUUUCAUAAUCUGAACUGCAAUAUAAAAUGUAAGAGAAAUCAAGAAAAUAUUUUUAAAAGGAUCUAGUGAUUUACUUUUGAAUAUAGGGGAGCACAAACAUGCAUAAACAAUGUUAAAAGAAAAACUUAAGAUGAAUUAAAUUUAAAGGAGUUUAAUUGAGCAAUGAAUGUUUUGUGAAUUAGGCAGCCUCCUGAACCAGAGCAGAGUCAGGCUCCAGCACAGCCAGGUGGUGGAGAAGAUUUAUGGACAGAAAUAGCAAAGUGUAGCACAGAAAAAGGGCGUGAGGUACAGAAAAAACUAGAUUGGUUACAGCUCAGCGUUUGCCUUGUUUGAACAUGGUUCAAACAGUUGGCUACAUAUGAUUGACCAAAACAUGGCGAUUGGCACAAGUGUAGGCUAGGGUCUGUUUACACGUCAACUUGCUUUAGUUCAGAAAAUGUACAGAGAAACCUUUAGGCAGAGCUUAAAAUAUGUAAGGAUACGACAGGAGAAGUUUUGUUGUUAAACUCGUUUUAACAACAAACUUCUUUGGAGAUUUGUAUUUAAGAAAAAGUUGUAGAAGGACACCUACAUUAGGGAACUAAGGCAAUUAUUAGCAAAUAUUUUCUGUGAUGAGAGCAGAUGUUCCAUGAAAGUAGUUCGUAUUAUAGAUACACAAGAAGUGAGAAUUAAGUCUGUAAUUAAGCAAUUGUUAUGUAAGCCUUGGUGCUACAAAAAGAAAAUAUGGCUCAUGGAGAAAGUCAAAUGAUUUGGGGGAUUAAGUUGCAAAACAGAGACAUGUAUUCUAAAUGUUUUGACUCCUAGCAUCCUAUGUAGUUGCAGGCUAGCUCAGGGAUGGAUGGCAAGCAUCUCUUUAAAUGCCAUUAAUUUGAAGAGUCUAGCUACUUGCAGAGUGAGUGUUGAAUGGUGUCUUUCCAAGUCUGGGACUAGGCAGUAGUAUCACUUUAGAGAGCAAAGAGGGAAAAAAAUAGCAAACAUUUCAAAACAACAGAAAAAGAGUGUAGUAUAACAUUCUCUCCACUCAAUUUUUCACAUCGAUUUUAAGAAUAGGAAAUAAUCAUAAAAUGAAAUUUUAACUGACUUGCUGAGAACAAUAUCCAAUUAAGAACCAGAGAAGGGCACUGUAUGAAUUGGUUAUCAGCAUGAGGAGACUUUUUUU